AAACAGAUUUUAGCGUAUUUGUUUGUGGUACUGCUGCUGGGGAAAACAUCUUCAGUUUAUUAGAGCCAGACAAGACAACUAGGAGAACUGGAUAAACCUGUGCAUUGUCAUGUGUCUAGGGUCAUGUAUGUCAAAGGAAGAUUCCUUCCCUUGCCAAAAUAAUGAAAC
rnacentral:lncRNA from 12 species